UACGGAGGUGGCAAGCGUUGCUCGGAAUCACUGGGCGUAAAGGGCGCGUAGGCGGGGAGGUAAGUCGGGUGUGAAAUCCCUCGGCCCAACCGAGGAACUGCGCCCGAGACUGCUUCUCUUGAGUCCCGGAGAGGAAGGUGGAAUUCCCGGUGUAGCGGUGAAAUGCGCAGAGAUCGGGAGGAACACCCGUAGCGAAGGCGGCGCUCUGGGCCGGUACUGACGCUGAGGAGCGAAAGCGUGGGGAGCAAACGGG
rnacentral:rRNA from 1 species